rnacentral:rRNA from 1 species
GGCUCAGAUUGAACGCUGGCGGCAGGCCUAACACAUGCAAGUCGAGCGGAAACGAGUUAUCUGAACCUUCGGGGAACGAUAACGGCGUCGAGCGGCGGACGGGUGAGUAAUGCCUAGGAAAUUGCCCUGAUGUGGGGGAUAACCAUUGGAAACGAUGGCUAAUACCGCAUGAUGCCUACGGGCCAAAGAGGGGGACCUUCGGGCCUCUCGCGUCAGGAUAUGCCUAGGUGGGAUUAGCUAGUUGGUGAGGUAAGGGCUCACCAAGGCGACGAUCCCUAGCUGGUCUGAGAGGAUGAUCAGCCACACUGGAACUGAGACACGGUCCAGACUCCUACGGGAGGCAGCAGUGGGGAAUAUUGCACAAUGGGCGCAAGCCUGAUGCAGCCAUGCCGCGUGUGUGAAGAAGGCCUUCGGGUUGUAAAGCACUUUCAGUCGUGAGGAAGGUAGUGUAGUUAAUAGCUGCAUUAUUUGACGUUAGCGACAGAAGAAGCACCGGCUAACUCCGUGCCAGCAGCCGCGGUAAUACGGAGGGUGCGAGCGUUAAUCGGAAUUACUGGGCGUAAAGCGCAUGCAGGUGGUUUGUUAAGUCAGAUGUGAAAGCCCGGGGCUCAACCUCGGAAUUGCAUUUGAAACUGGCAGACUAGAGUACUGUAGAGGGGGGUAGAAUUUCAGGUGUAGCGGUGAAAUGCGUAGAGAUCUGAAGGAAUACCAGUGGCGAAGGCGGCCCCCUGGACAGAUACUGACACUCAGAUGCGAAAGCGUGGGGAGCAAACAGGAUUAGAUACCCUGGUAGUCCACGCCGUAAACGAUGUCUUCUUGGGGGUUGUGGCCUUGAGCCGUGGCUUUCGGAGCUAACGCGUUAAGUAGACCGCCUGGGAGUACGGUCGCAAGAUUAAAACUCAAAUGAAUUGACGGGGGCCCGCACAAGCGGUGGAGCAUGUGGUUUAAUUCGAUGCAACGCGAAGAACCUUACCUACUCUUGACAUCCAGAGAACUUUCCAGAGAUGGAUUGGUGCCUUCGGGAACUCUGAGACAGGUGCUGCAUGGCUGUCGUCAGCUCGUGUUGUGAAAUGUUGGGUUAAGUCCCGCAACGAGCGCAACCCUUAUCCUUGUUUGCCAGCGAGUAAUGUCGGGAACUCCAGGGAGACUGCCGGUGAUAAACCGGAGGAAGGUGGGGACGACGUCAAGUCAUCAGCCCUUACGAGUAGGGCUACACACGUGCUACAAUGGCGCAUACAGAGGGCUGCCAACUUGCGAAAGUGAGCGAAUCCCAAAAAGUGCGUCGUAGUCCGGAUUGGAGUCUGCAACUCGACUCCAUGAAGUCGGAAUCGCUAGUAAUCGUGGAUCAGAAUGCCACGGUGAAUACGUUCCCGGGCCUUGUACACACCGCCCGUCACACCAUGGGAGUGGGCUGCAAAAGAAGUAGGUAGUUUAACCUUCGGGGGGACGCUUACCACUUUGUGGUUCAUGACUGGGGUGAAGUCGUAAAAGGUAACC